ensembl:lncRNA
GAAGAAAGUUGACGUGGUGUAACUGCAGCAAGGCCCUUCUUAUCUCCGUGCGAGGGGAGAGAUUGAGCGGGAUGCGAGAGGAAAUGUAUUGGGAAAACGGGAGCCUUUGACUAAGCAUGCACGUUUAAUGCUGCCAGGUUGCACAGGUGUAUUAACAGCUACAUCCACAUGCAUUCACAGCCGCAUAGGAACCGCUGAUGGGAUACUGACAAGUUUGACUGUAACUCCGCGCACACGUCCCACUCCCACACAAACACGAGUGCUCGUAUUUAGCUAUACGCUGAAAUGUACACGCUUUCUGCACCCUCCCACGUGAAAAGGCGAGCAGAACAGCGCAGGAUCCCUGUGUAACAGCAUCCAGCCCUGUGGACUUGUUAAAACUGGGACACUGGAUUCCACCGGGACUCACCUCGAGGACAGGACGCAGUUUCCGACGUUAAGACAUCAACGUCCUCACUGGCGAUCUGGAUAGAGAGAUUCCUCGUCCUUAUCUAUCCUGAAUGAAACCCUCUUAAGGUGGAUGCUAAGCAUUAAAAUUGCAUGUCCCAGUGGAGAGCUGCCAUACCAAGUAGCCAACCCGCAGCAAUAAAUCAACACUAGAGGACUUUUAUUUCUUCAUUAUCGCUUCCUGCAGCAACAACAAAGGAACAGGCAUGUUCACAGGCCUGUUGACCUGCGGAUGUGCGCCAUAGGAUUCUAUUUUUGGAGCCUCAUUGCUUUUACAGAUUAACUGCCCUCAAAUAUGGCCCCAAUCCGUUUGUUGCUCCACUAGUUUGACUGCUGCCGGAGGUUGUGUAUAUUCAUGCUUCAGAACGCCCCACUGUGUGACAGUUUAGUCAUCUGAAGGGGCAUUGCCAUUUACUUCUUUUUGAAAGCAGUUUCAGUCCAUUUUUUUCACACCCUUCAAAGGAACAAACACUUUGCUGUAUGUAAUGUAAUGAAAGCUUUUAAGUUAUUCUUGUCAACUCCUAACUAAUUGCCCUCUUUCAUUGUGUAACUGAGGAAAGAUUGACAUCUGAAGCUUUUACACCAUUGCCAAGUCAGUG